rnacentral:rRNA from 1 species
UACGAGGGGGGCGAGCGUUGUUCGGAAUUAUUGGGCGUAAAGGGCGCGUAGGCGGUGCGGUAAGUCGGGAGUGAAAGGCCUGGGCUCAACCGAGGAAUGGCUUUCGAGACUGCCGAGCUAGAGUGCGGAAGGGGCAACUGGAAUUCCCAGUGUAGCGGUGAAAUGCGUAGAGAUCGGGAAGAACACCAACGGCGAAAGCACUCUGCUGGGCCGACACUGACACUGAGAGACGAAAGCUAGGGGAGCGAAUGGG